AUGUUUUUAAUUCGGAAAGAUUGGAAUGUUCAUUUGGAUUUCUUAAAGAAACAAGUCACAAGAUUACUAGACUUACAUCAUACACGAUUACUCUAUUCAAAAUUUAAUAUCAUGCAUUUCAAACUUAUUUCAAAUAUAAAAGUCCCACCAACUUACAUAAAAUUCAAACAAGUUUCUCUAUAUUCAAGCGAGUAUAAAACUUCAUACAUAGAAAUCCCUAAGGCAUUUUUCCUAGCAUUCAAAUUUCCAAAUCCUGAUUUAAUCUUCCAAACUUCCAUCAAUCUCCAUGUCAUAGCCACUUUUGUUGUUGUAUGUUCAAAUGCCAAAACUUUUGCUAAAAAACAUCAAAUUUCAUGA